UGUGCGCCGCAGGCGGAGCGGAGAGACAGGUGCUGCAUGGCUGUCGUCAGCUCGUGCCGUGAGGUGUUCGGUUAAGUCCGGCAACGAGCGCAACCCCUGUCGCUAGUUACCAUCAUUCAAUUGGGGACUCUAGCGAGACUGCCGGUGAUAAACCGGAGGAAAGUGGGGAUGACAUCAAGUCCCCAUGGGCCUUAUGUCCAGGGCCACACACGUGCUACAAUGGGCGGUACAAACCGUUGCGAUCCCCCGAGGGGGAGCUAAUCGGAGAAAGCCGCUCUCAGUUCUGAUUGCGGGCUGCGACUCUCCUGCGUGAAAUUGGAAUCUCUAGUAAUCGCGGAUCACCACGCCCCGGUGAAUACAUUCCCGGGCCUUGUACACACCGCCCGUCACAUCACAAAAGCUGGGUGUACUCUAAAUCUCUGAGAAACCG
rnacentral:rRNA from 1 species